AGAUUGAACGCUGGCGGCAUGCCUAACACAUGCAAGUCGAGCGGCGAGCGCGGGGGCGACCCUGGCGGCGAGCGGCGGACGGGUGAGUAAGGCAUCGGAAACUCUGCCCUGGAUGUGGGGAUAACGUAGGGAAACUUACGCUAAUACCGCAUACGACCGAGAGGUGAAAAGCGGGGGACCGAAAGGCCUCGCGCAGACAGGAACU
rnacentral:rRNA from 1 species